GACUCAGUCUGUUGACCUCACUAUCAAUUCGAGCACUUGAAACAGACAUCUGGUGCCCAUCGCCAGACUUUUUAAGUUCCCGGAGGCCAUAGUGAAUCUUCGCCGGACCGACGGUGCAUAAGUAAGCAAUGAAAACUAAAACAAAACUAAAAUAACACCGAAGAGGAUAGCUGUUAGCAGGGUUCUGGUUAAGACAAAGUUUAUGACACAAAAGAUCAAAUAUCAGCUGCAAUCAACACGGUGGACCGCGACAUCCUGAGGCGAGUUUGGGAAAAGUUGUUCUGGCUGACAGCGGCGACCACAUUGAGCACUUGGAAAAAAUGAAAGAAAAACUUGAAGAGCUGCAACAGAAGGCAAAAAGUCGAUCGUGUCCAACAUUCCAUUGCCCAAAGGUGACACAUGGACCUGUGGAGAAAGACUGCAGGAAAGGCAAGACACCGCGUGAUCCUCCCUCUGAUGGGAUGAGCUCUUCUUUUGGCCAUGUUUCACAUGUGCACAAUUACCCGUAGUUGUACUUCAACACAGACUGGGAGUACUUUUUUGUACCUGCUCCCUCAUCAACUGUACAUCUGUAAUGCACCUGGGACGAGUUGUGCUUCUUCUAUAAUACUGUAGCAUUUGCAUUUGCAUUUGCGGAAGUAAACAAAGAUGGCACUCAUGAAACAAAGAUGGCGGACGGUGAGACAUGGACAAAUGUCGGAAAUGAACGGGAGAAGAUUACGCAGCGAAGAAGGAAUGACCAAUCUGUGAUGGAAUACGUACUCUAUUGCUACAAGGUGGACAGAGGGACAAGGGAAGAGGAGGAGGAGGACGAAGAGGAGGUGGGAGGAAGGUGGUGGUAGGCUCCAGAAAUAAUUUCCGACAGACGGUGGGCAGGAAGCCAUGGCAGUAAGUGAACCUGAGCAGAAAAGAGCCUCCAGGAAGUGGAAAUCCUUAUAGAGCCCAAGCUGGUAGCUCCACACCGUCACGGCUGUUACCGCCACUGUGCAGCUCAACUGUAAUGCUAAGCCAACACGGGUAGCUAACAGGAUACAUUUUACCACCUCAUCAGUGAAGCAUGGUGGUGGCAGGGCCAAGACGUUGACAUGUAUGGCUUUUUCGUGAGAGCUUGACUAAAGUUAGCUCGUAAAUUUGUAAAUUGAGACCAGAUCAGCAUUAUUUCCGUACACAUUAUUUUU